rnacentral:lncRNA from 1 species
UGACGAGUCUUCCAUCCAAAACCAAACCACCUCUUAUGAAAAACACAAACCAAUGUAUGUAUUUGCUUAAAUAUUAUAGUAUCGUAUAAAAUGACGGAACCAACCUAGGCCAUCGCUAAGAGUCCCUAACCCACAAUAACAAUAAAAGUUUUAUGUAAAAUUUUUGAAACUGAAACUUAAAUUGCAUUUUAAUAUAGUUAAAUCUUCAAACUUUAAAAAAAAAAAGAAAACUGGCGUAAAAUCAAAUGAUUCUAGAAAAGCACCUAUAAAGCAAAGAAUGGAUAAAGAAAAUGGUAAUAAUAGACAACUUGUGUCCAAUAU